AGGAGUAUGCAAUAAUAACUUAUGAAAUGCCGUAAUAUUCCUCCUAAAUAUUAGGAACUUAAGUUGCGGACUACCAUUUCACAAGACGCUACUUCU
rnacentral:sRNA from 12 species